rnacentral:rRNA from 1 species
AUACGUAGGACACGAGCGUUAUCCGGAUUUACUGGGCGUAAAGCGCCUGUAGGCGGUCUUGUAAGUCGGAUGUGAAAGCCCCAGGCUUAACCUGGGGAAGCCAUUCGAUACUGCGGGACUUGAGGAUGGCAGAGGGGAGUGGAAUUCCCGGUGUAGCGGUAAAAUGCGCAGAUAUCGGGAGGAACACCAGUGGCGAAGGCGGCUCCCUUGGUCAUCCCUGACGCUGAGAGGCGAAAGCUAGGGGAGCGAACAGGAUUAGAGACCCUGGUAGUCCUAGCCCUAAACGAUGGAUGCUAGGUGGAGGAUCGAUAGGUUUUCUGCCAAAGCUAACGCGUUAAGCAUCCCGCCUGGGGACUACGGCCGCAAGGCUAAA